CAGCGCCACAAGUGGCAAUCGGUAUUAUUGGGCCUAAAGCGUCCGUAGCCGGUUUGGUAAAUCCUUUGUGAAAUCGCCAGGCUUAACCUGGCGGCGUGCAGAGGACACUACCAGACUCGAGACCGGGAGGAGUUAGAAGUAUUUCUGGGGGAGCGGUAAAAUGCUAUAAUCCCAGAAGGACUACCUAUGGCGAAGGCAUCUAACUAGAACGGAUCUGACGGUGAGGGACGAAAGCCAGGGGAGCGAACCGGAUUAGAUACCCGAGUAGUCC
rnacentral:rRNA from 1 species